rnacentral:lncRNA from 1 species
UCGUAGGAGAUAACUAAUGAACAUCAGUGGAUCUAACAAUAAGAAUCCACUGAGACCAAAAGGUUAUCAAGUAUUGUCCAUUCAAAGCAAGUCAAAUGGAUUAAAAGCUUUACUUUGAAUGAAAACAUUUAUGACGCUCAGCUACUUACAUUCAUGGCUUGGAAAUCUCCAUCCUGACACGGGAGCUUCACAUGGCAUCCAUUACUUCAAGAAACUAAAAGGUUUUAGCCUCUCAUCCUUGAG